UGCCUUUUCGGUUAUAAUAGGCUUUUCUGAAGUUAUCUCGCAGUUUCUUCCAACGAUCCUGGCACUGCGUCACUGGAAAGAACAGAAAUGAAAAAUUAAUAACAUAACUCUUUUUUAUUUUAUAGUUCGUUUUGGUACGGCAGUCUUAUAUUUCUAUUUUGUGUGUUUGUUUUAUUUUUACAGAUUCCUCAUCACUGGUUGCAGUUUCAAAAACUUGUCAUUUAAUUUUCGAAUGGGAAUUUCUACAGUUCAUUCAAUUAUUCAUGAGACAAUCAGAGUAAUUUGUGAUGUUUUGAUGCCCAUAGUUAUGCAGAUGCCAGAUGAAGAAAUGUGGGAAAAGUACAGUGUUACUAGCUGUGGUCGACGCGAAAUACAGUUUUUUAAUUGUUGAUGUCGGAUCAUAUGGUAAAAAUAGCGACGGCGGAAUUUUACAGAAUUCAAAAUUUUGGAAAAAACUCAACACCAAUAAGUUAAAGCUGCCCCCAAAUAAACCUCUACCUAGUACCACUGAAAGCUUACCACAUGUUUUUAUAGGAGACGAGGCAUUUCCUUUGAGCAAUAAUAUAUUGCGGCCGUAUCCAAGAGAACAAGCAAGAACAGAAUUAUCAAAAAAAGUAUUUAAUCUGCGUUUAAGCAGGGCAAGAAAAGUCGUAGAAUGUGCAUUUGGAAUGCUAACUCAAAGAUUUGAAAUUUAUCAAAAACGAAUGAAAAUUCAGCCGAAGUACUGUGAUUUAAUUAUAUUAGCAACUACAUGUUUACAUAAUUUUUUAAUAGAAAAUCGGACGCCAGGACAAGAGAAUGAAUUUCACAGCAAUAUAAAUUUAUUAACAGCAAUAACAGACAAUAAUAAUGAAAACAGUUCUAAUAGCGACGCAGUUCUAACCACAAGGAAUAAAUUUAAGGAUUAUUUUUCAUCAAGUGGUGCUUUAGAUUGGCAAGAUCAAGUGGCUACGCGAGUUUCUUAAGUUAUAUUUAAUAAAAAUUGUCUACUACAUAAGUAUAUUCUAACGAUCAGAUACUCAAACGAGUUUUUAAAGUAAGGGCGCAUUUAAACUCAUGUUAUUCCUAUUUUGACUUUGAAUCUAACACGUCGCAGCACGAGUUUAAGAAGCCCUUGCUUUAAAAUUCGUUUGAGUAUCUGGGGGUAGGUGUAAAACAAUGAAAACCUUACUUACCACUUAUUCCGAGACAUUUGCUAAUUUCCUCCCAUGCAUUGUCUUUCAUUAUCCGAUCGCUAUAUGAUGGCUUGGUUAUGUCAAAUAAACACUCAUAUUUUGA